rnacentral:rRNA from 1 species
CUAAGUUUGAUGGCGACCGGCGCACGGGUGAGUAACACGUAUCCAACCUGCCGAUGACUCGGGGAUAGCCUUUCGAAAGAAAGAUUAAUACCCGAUGGCAUAGUUCUUCCGCAUGGUGGAACUAUUAAAGAAUUUCGGUCAUCGAUGGGGAUGCGUUCCAUUAGGUUGUUGGCGGGUAACGGCCCACCAAGCCUUCGAUGGAUAGGGGUUCUGAGAGGAAGGUCCCCCACAUUGGAACUGAGACACGGUCCAAACUCCUACGGGAGGCAGCAUG